UCAAAAUCACUUUUGUAUGUCAACUAACGGUAAAUUGGAUAGAUUCCAUCCAAAAGGGCAUCAGAUGCAACGUUUUAAAAGAUUUAGGGCACGACUGUAAUAAAUGAAAGGAUAGAGAAAAUUCUGCUAAUAUUUAAAAGAUCUGGGGACUUCUACUGCAAUUAUCCCUAAAAUUUAUCCGAUCAUCUGGGUUAUAAAUAGGAUUAGUUUGGGGAUCAAUUUUUUGGAUUUAAGAAAGUUUACCUCUAGUAACGCAACUCGUGUCAAUUGUCAUCAGCAAGCUAUUGUCAAGUGCAGAGUACAAGUAUGAUUAAUUCGUCAGUCGACUCCCGUCACCAUCCUCUUCCUGGAGACCCUGUUGAAUAUUUGUUCAAAAUCAAUGAAAUGAUAAUGGACUAAUUGUUGGACUCAAUUGUGGAAUUGGUAGAAUAAAAAGAAAUUGAAAAUUUUGAUUUUUGCCUAUGCGUACGCACGGGCUUAUUUUUGUGUGUACGCGAGAUGUGCUUUGACAAAAUUAGAAUUGAUUUUACAUCUACUAUGUGUACCCACGGUUUAUACUAUGCGUACGCAUAGUAUUGAAAUAUAGCCGUUGGCUGAUUUUUCACUUUGAAAUUUGGGAGCCGUUUUGGAUUAAAAGUUGUCACUUUUCAUCUUGUUUUGGCAUCAUUUCGUAAUGUAUUGAUUGAGGCCUAUAAAUAGGUGAUGAAUGAUCAAUACAAACAUUAUUACAAACAAGAAAUACAUACAUUGUUCCACAAUUAAUCAAAUUCAUGCUAUAGCUCAUAUUCAUUUCUUCUUUAUUGUGUUCAUCAAGUUUUGGCGAAAAAAUUUCUCGUGCUUUGUUAUUUUCUGCAUCAAGACUUGUUAAAAUUUUUCAAACCAUUUGCCAUAACACCCUUAAGCAUCUGGAAAGAAAGCAAAUAUAGUUUGAGGACAAAGAUCUCGUGUUCAAGCCUCAAAUUCAUUCUUGACGUACUUCGUGAUUUCUAUUCAUUUUGUUUCCAUAAUUUUGUUGUUGUUUCUUCUCCAACCCCUUAUUUUCCAACAAUUUCAAACUAUAUUUUGCGAUUGAGAAUUAUACAAUUAUGGCAACCAUCAAACUCAUGAAUCAAGAUCUGGUUAGAUUGGAUCGUUUUGAUGGGACUAACUUCACGCGGUGGCAAGACAAGUUAAAAUUCCUCCUAAUGGCGUUGGAGAUUUUUUAUAUUCUUGAUUCAAAUUUGGCGUCUUUGCCGGAACCAACAAAUGGAGAAUUCGAAACGAUCAAAACCGAGAGACAAAAAGGCCAAGAAGAAGAAUUGAUUUGCCGUGGCCACAUCUUGAAUGCAUUGUCGGAUCGUUUGUAUGAUCAUAUACCAAUACAACUUCGGCGAAAGAAAUCUGGAAUGCAUUGGAAAGUAAGUACAAGGUGGAAGAAGAAGGUACAAAGAAAUUUUUGAUUUCUAAGUAUUUUGAUUUUAAAUUCUUAGAGAAUAUCUCUUUUCUUCCCCCAAGUGCAUGAGUUGCAAGUGAUUGUCAACAAAUUAAAGGCGGUAAAAAUUGAUAUACCAGAGACCUUUCAAGUGGGGACUAUAAUUGCCAAACUUCCCGGAACAUGGAAAGGGUAUCGGAAGAAGAUCAUGUAUAGUUCCGAAGAUUAUUCUUUGGAACAAUUGCAAAAGCAUCUUCGAAUCGAAGAGGAGUCGAGAAUACGUAAUAAAACUGAAAAUUCUCAUGAGGGCUUUUAAAGCAAAUGCUAUGGAAAAAAUAAAACCGUCGGCAAAAUCCAACAAAAGGAAGCCUUCUAGGAACUUUAACAAGUCCAAGAAGAAGACAAAAAGAGGUUGCUUUGUGUGUGAAAAAUCUGGUCACUAUGUCAAGGAUUGUAGGCACUGAAAAUAAAACAACUUUGAGGCCAAAGUGAAUUCCAUCCAAGAUGACAAAAUUGUGGCCACCAUAAGUGAAGUAAACGCAAUCAAAGGAAAUGUUCCGGGUGGUGGUAUGAUACUUGUGCUACAGUACAUGUAUCAUAUGAUAAAUUUUUGUUCAAAACUUAUCAAGAAGUGGAUGGAGAACAAAAGAUUCAAAUGGGUAACGAGAUGCAGUCUAAGGUGUUUGGAAAAGGAAAUGUAGACAUUAUCUUCACUUCUGGGAAAAUCGUUACUCUAACUAAUGUAUUACAUGUUCUGGAUAUGAAUAGGAACCUAGUUAGUGGCAAUCUCUUGGAAAAAUCGAGUAUCAAAUGUGUUUAUGAGUCCGGCAAACUUGUACUAUCAUUUAAUGAAAAAUUUGUUAGAAAAUGCUAUUCGUGUGAAGGAAUAGUCAAAUUAUGUACCAUUGACAAUGAAAUGAAUAAAAGUAAUUUUGCUUUAUGUAGUGAAUUUAUUUUCAUUAUGGCAUGCUAGAUUAGGUCAUGUUGGUAGAAAUACAAUGAAACGCAUGAAAAAAUAUGACUUGAUCUCAUAUGAUGAACAUAAAUACAAAAUAUGUGUAGAAUCUAAAAUGAUUAAAAAAUCAUAUCAAAGUGUUAAGAGAACUUCUAGUAUUUUAGAAUUAAUUCAUACUGAUAUAUGUGAACUUAAUGGUAUGUUAACUAGAGGUGGAAAUAAAUAUUUCAUAACUUUUAUAGAUGAUUUUUCUAGAUAUACUUACAUUUAUUUGAUAAAACAUAAAAGUGAAGUCUUUGAUAUGUUUAAAACAUACAAAAAUAACAUUGAAAAUUAUUUAGGAAAGAAAAUUAAAAAUUUAAGGAGUGAUAGAGGUGGUGGAUACUUUUCCAAUGAUUUUAAUUUGUUUUGUAAACAACAUGGAAUUAUUCAUUAAUGUUCUGCACCUAGGAUACCCGAACAAAACGGUUUGACUGAAAGAAAGAAUAGAACAUUUGUAGAAAUUAUAAAUGCCAUGCUUAUUUAUGCUAAGUUGCAAUUUAACUUGUGGGGUGAAAUUUUAUUAAGUGCAUGUAAAAUACUUAAUAGGAUUCCUUUGAAAUAUACUAAGGUUUCUCCUUAUAAAUUGUGGAAAGGAAGAAAAUAGAACAUUGGAUACUUCAAAGUGUGAGGGUGUCUUGCCUAUUGCAAGAACACGAAUCCUAAUAGGACCAAAUUGGGUCCAAAAGGCAUUAAAUGUGCCUUUGUUGGAUAUGUAAACAAUAGCAAAUCUUAUAGAUUACUAAAUUUGGAGUCCAAUGUGAUUAUCAAAUCCAACGAUGUAGAGUUCUUUGAGGAUUCGUUAUCUUCUGAUAAUGAAUUGAGGGAAAAUCUUGAAAAUAUUCCUAACUCAAGUGGAACACAUGAUGAAAUAUCUUCUAAAGAUGUUGAUGAGUCUAGUGAACCACGAAGAAGCAAGAGAACUCGAGUUGAAAAGUCUUUGGAACCGGAUGAAAUUGUCUAUCAACUUAUCUCCUUUUACUUAGUAGAGGGAAAUGAGUUGAAUGUUGUGAGAACAAAUCAUUUUGUUCUACAAGUUGAAACCAACCCUAAGACUUUUAAAGAAGCUAUGGCUUCUCGUGAUAGCACCUUUUGGAAAGAUACAAUUAAGGACGAAAUGAAUACGAUAAUAUCCAAUAAUACUUGGGAACUUGUUGAUUUACCACCGGGAUCCAAGCCUAUUGGAUGUAAAUGGGUAUUUAGGAGAAAAUACAAUGUUGAUGGAUCCUUAAAUACCUUCAAGGCUAGAUUAGUACCCAAAUGAUAUCGACGAAAGGAAGGAAUCGACUAUUUUGAUACUUAUGCACCGGUAGCUAGAAUAACAUCGAUUAGGAUAUUAUUCGCUUUGACUUCAAUAUAUGACUUGCAUGUACAUCAAAUGAAUGUUAAGACGACAUUCCUAAAUGGAGAUUUCGAUGGGGAGGUCUAUAUGGAACAACUUGAAGGGUUUGCUCUACCUGGAAAUGAACAUAAAGUGUGCAAGUUGGUAAAAUCUUUAUAUGGUCUAAAGCAAACACCAAAGAAAUGGCAUGAGAAGUUUGACUUGGCAAUAAUAUCAUUCGGGUUUAAACAUAAUAGCUUUGAUAAAUGUUUAUAUUCUAAAGUUUGUGAUGAUUAUGUGACAUUUAUAUGCUUGUAUGUUGACAAAAUGCUGAUUAUAAGUAAUCACAUGGAUGAAAUAGAAUAAACAAAGAGGUUUCUUUCUUCCACAUUCAAGAUGAAGGAUCUUGGACAAGUGGAUACCAUUUUAAGUUUCAAAGUCACAAAGACUAGUAGGGGUUACUAUUUAAGUCAAUUACAUUAUAUUGAGAAUGUGAUAAAUAAGUUCAAACAUUUGAACAUAAAAGAAUGUAAUACCCUGAUUGAUCCAAAUUCAAAACUAAUAAAGAAUGAUGGAAGGGUGAUUGCUCAAUUGGAAUAUGCAGGUGCUAUAGGGAAUCUUAUGUAUGUUGUUCAAUGCACAAGACCAGAUAUAGCUUAUGCAAUAAGUGAACUUAGUAGGUUUACUAGCAAUCCGAGUAAUAAUCAUUGGAAGGCUAUUGUGAGAGUUCUUGGAUACUUAAAGAAAACCAAGAACCUGGGCUUACAAUAUACUAAAUUUCCGGUGAUAUUGGAAGGAUUUACCGAUGCUAGUUGGAUAUCUAGCAUGGGUGAAAGUAAAUCCACUUCGGGUUGGGUAUUCAUUCUUGGAGGAGGUGCUGUUUCUUGGAUAAACAAACAUGUAUAACACACUCGACCAUGGAAUCUGAAUUUGUAGCUUUAUUAGAUACCGAAAAAGAGGCUGAGUGGCUUAAAGAUCUCUUAUAUGAGAUACCUUUGGGAUCGAAGAAUAUCUCUUCAAUACCUAUCAUGUGUGAUAGUCAAGCCACGUUAGCAAAUGCUAUACAAUGGAAAGUCUAGACAUAUGAGUCUGAGACAUGACUAUAUAAGGAAAUUAAUCAAAAAUGGAAUAAUUUCCCUAAAUUAUUAAGAAUUUAGCGGAUCCUUUAACUAAAACACUAAAUAUAGAUUUAGUGGCGUCUACUUCGAGUAGGAUGGGGUUGAAACUUCUUAACUAAAAAGGUCCACCAAUGACGGCAACCCUACCUGUCAUUACUCAAAAAGUAAUCCACGGGUUCAAAGGGUAACAACAAGUCAUUCGAUAUGUGGAUGGUUGCAGCAUUAUUCAAAUCCGCAAUGAACCUAUCCUAAUUAAAUAAUGCUGAUUGUUACUGAAGUGAAGGUUGAACUUAAAGCUCUUAAUGAAGUUCGGUGCUAAAACACAAGUACCUCUAAAAUUAACAAAGGUACAAGAAGAACUUCACCUAGACUAACUUCGAGGUGGUGACGCCUCAAUAGAGAGUUGGAGUUUCUCUCUUAAAAGUUUGUCGAAUAGGAUGAGUGCAAUGCCAUAAAAGCGCUAAGCGAGUUGAGGAACUUGAGAACAUGUGAUACAUAUGUACGUGUUCUUACUGGUAUCGUCAAAUGGAAUAAUUAGUUCAAAGCUUCCAUGCUACCUCUAAUUCCGACUUUACUUUGUUUGAAUUACACUAUGGUUAGAUUCAAAUCGAAAAAUUUCUAAUCCUUAUGCAUAAGUGUCAUCUUUUUGAAUACGUGAUCUUAUUGAUUUUGAACAAGUGGGGGUUGUUGAAUAUUUGUUCAAAAUCAAUGGAAUGAUAAUGGACUAAUUGUUGGACUCAAUUGUGGAAUUGGUAGAAUCAAAAGAAAUUAAAAAAUAAAAAGUUUGAUUUUUUCCUAUGCGUACGUAUAUGCUUAUUUUUGUGCGUACGCAAGAUGUGCUUUGAUAAAAUUAGAAUUGAUUUUGCUUCUAUUAUACGUACGCACGGUUUAUACUAUGCGCACGCAUAUUGUUAAAAUAUAGCCGUUAGCUGAUUUUUCAAUUUGAAACUUAGGAGCCGUUUUGGAUUAAAAGUUGCCACUUUUCAUCUUGUUUUGACACCAUUUCGUGAUGUAUUGAUUGAUGCCUAUAAAUAGGUGAUGAAUGAUCAAUACAAACAUUAUUACAAACAAGAAAUACAUAUAUUGUUUCACAAUUAAUCAAGUCCAUGCUAUAACUCAUAUUCAUUUCUUCUUUAUUGUGUUCAUCAAGUUUUGACGGAAAAAUUUCUCUUAUUUUGUUAUUUUCUGUAUCAAGGCUUGUUAAAAUCCUUCAAACCAUUUGCCAUAACAUCGUUAAACAUCUGGAGAGGGGACAAAUAUAGUUUAAGAACAACGAUCCCGUGUUCAAACCUCAAAUUUAUUCUUGACAUUCUUGACGUAUUUCGUAUUUUCUAUUCAUUUUAUUUCCAUAAUUUUGUUGUUGUUUCUUUCGCCAACCCCUUCCAACAGAUCCUCCCAAUAUUCAGCUGACCAGACCAACCAAACGUGCCCUCGCCGAAGCCCAGUGUCACUUCGCCGUUUUACCAGCCGCUCCCAUCUGACCCUCAAUCACCUGAAAACCUCCCACAACAUUCGAAUACGUCAUCGUAUAACCAUACCAUCGCCGCCACCGCCAUUCGUGCCUCCUCCACCGCCGUCUACUUUGCAUUGCCGCCGUUCUUCCCUUCCUCAUCGCCGCCAUCUACAUACUCUGGCCCUCCUACCCUAACCUCUCUAUCGUCCGCCUCCGGCUCGAGGGCCUCCAAUUCCAUACUCGCCCCAAAAUCUCCCUCGACAUCAAACUCGACCUCACCGUCAAGGUCCGGAACAGAGACUUUUACUCAAUUGAAUAUGACUCAUUAGCUGUCGCGAUCGUGUACAGAGGGGAUCGCCUGGGGUACGUCUCCUCGGACAACGGCUACGUCAGAGCUCGUGGGGAGUCUUAUGUUAACGCCACGCUCCAGUUAGAUGGAGUUGAGAUUUUGUCGGACGCGAUUCUGUUGCUGGAAGACCUAGCCAAGGGUUCGGUUCCGUUCGAUACCGUCACAGAGAUUGAUGGGAAGCUUGGAGUUUUCUUCUUCGACAUUCCUUUUAAGGUAAAUUUUGAUGGUUAAGAAAUACGAAAGAAUAUGAUCACUAAUUAUUUUUCAGAUUAGAAGGGUUGGUAUUAAUGCUAGUUCUAUAAAGUAGAACGGAUAAGAAUGAUGAAUGUUUCUUUACUCUUGAAGCUGCAUGUGAAAGAAUGGAGAAAAGCAAUUGAAGGGAAAUAAUAGGACUGCAAAGAUAGGCACUUAUGGCUUUAAUCAAUUUGUUUGGGAAGGGAUGCUAAAGGGUUGUGAAUGUUGAUAUCAAGGCAAUUUAGAAACUAGAGGGAAAUGUGGUCCUUUAUGAACAAAUUUUCUAGAGUUUGUCUUCCAUAGACAUGGUUGCUUUGAAGUCGUGACAGUCGAAAACAACCAAUUUAAUUUGCAGCUGUGACCACAAAACUAAGCAGUAAAAACGCAGAUAAAAGCAAAGGGAAACAAUCCAUACCAUUAGAUCCAUAGAACAAAUUUAAAUUCAUAAGAUAAUUAUGGUUAGCCAAGUGUGUUUAUGAGUUCAUUCACUUUGGAUAAUAGAUAUGAAGCGGCACUGUGUUUGAGCUCCAACUCUAGGUGUGUGCCAAAUAUCAUCACUAGGAGAGUUAUGACAGAAUUGACUUCAGUAGGGACUAGAGGCUUAGAGAAAAUGGUGUGAGCGAGAAUAGAGCUUCCAUUGGGGAACAUGUUUGGAGAUGAUUUAUGACCGAGUUCACCUGUGAGUCAGUGAUUGAGAACCUACGCAUGUGAGCAUAACAUCUUCUGUAAGCUUUGUUUAAUGUUUUGGACGAUGGAAUCUUAUGUAGUCCUUUGUCAGAAUUUUUUUUCUGCUUGCUCGCCUUUAUUUUCUGUUGUAAAUUUUCUGUUUCUAGUUGUUGUAAGGUAUUGUUUCUUUGCACUUGUAUGAUUUAGAAUCAAAGGUAAAUACACUGUUCUACUAGAAUGUCAUGUUUGCAAAUCUACUUACCCAAGGUAUUUUCACUCAUGAGAUGUUCCAUUUCUCCAUUCUAUCCCUCUGUACGCUCAUGCGUUUCUUCUUUUUUUGGUAUCCUGGCAUCAAAUCAUGGACAAAUCUGGAAUCGUUACUUAUUUAAAACUAGUGGAAUUAUAAUAUGGUGGCAUGGGUAUGCAUCCCCCACUCCCCACCAUCAGCUUCUAAGCUAUUUAAGAUCUUUUUUAAAUGUCAAUGUGCAGAUCAAAAUCAAAUUUGUCAGUUUCUCAUGGCUUCAUAAUUAUGAUCUUUACAGGCAAAAACAUAUGUGAAAUAAUUUUAAAUGCACACAACCAAACAAUUGAUCAUCAAAGCUGCCACCCUGAGGUAAAGUUCCAAUCUUCUGCUAGUUUUACCUUUCUUCUGGUUGAUCUGUCUUGCAUGUGAAUAAAAAUGGAAGGAAUUGGAGGUGAAGGAUAUGAAUUCUAUGUGAAAUUAAGAAAGUAAAAGAAGCUCAAAUCUUAUUCAUCAUACUGUUUAGUCUUGUCCAAUGCUGGCUCUUGGCCUACAAUUUGCUAGAAAUUGCACCAUCUAAAAGCCAACCUUUCUUUACCCUACCUCCGCUCUCCCCUCCAGGUGGACAGUUGUGAAAAAUAUAGUGAUAUACACACAAAUAAAAUGUAACAUUUUUAUAGUUGGAUAUUGACCUGCAUAUCUAAUUCCAAUUCAGUGAUGGAAUAUUGGACACUGCCCAAAAAUUUCUAAACAGAGCUAGGAGAUGAGGUUGUUCUUGCAGAUUGCCAAAUAGAGAACCUCGUGCUGCCCAGGUUAUUGAUACUUUAUUUUUGGAUUAUUACCCAUCUCUUUUCAUGUAUAUGGGGCAAACAUUUGUCUGGAUGUAAAUUAGUAUGCAUAUCGUAUGUAUGUAAGUUAUUUGGAUACAAGAAAUUGAGUAUGAAUAGAUGUAAAAUCUGUUAUAUUGUACACAGGCGUGCACACACGCGCGUACACAACCCCAUCCGGUACAAUGAAUUUCUUGAUCUUAUUCUUAUGGUGCACAAUGAACUGAAAUUAGGAUCCAGGUGGAGAGAUACAAAUUUUCAUAUAUAUGAUUUUAUGCAAAAACAUUACAGUGGAGGAAAUUCAUACAGUGGAAAUAUGAUCUAAUUUCUCCUUGUUUGCUAGGAUGAUGAAACAUAUGUAGUCUUACUAACUAGGUCUGUUUCCCGGACCUACCCACUCGCAUUCUGCAUGAUGAUAUCUACACCUGAACGAACCUGGGUGGUGCGUUGGUGAACACACGCAUCUUUUCAUUCCUCCACCACUGCCACUGUUAGCCCCAGCUGUAUUAACUGUUGCUUGCUGUCUUUCAACCUCUACCACAGCUGGUGGUGAUGGUGGUAUCACAGGAGAAACUACUCUCCCC
rnacentral:lncRNA from 1 species